CUUUCAGUGAAUAAAGGACAAACUGCUACACUUAACUGUGAUGUUGGAGUUAAAAGCGACGGUAUUAUAGCUUUCCUCCGUCAGUUACCAAGAGAGGCCCCACAGCUUUUGCUAUAUCAUCACCAUUCAUACACAGAACCUAAAUAUGGACCUGGAAUGUCUUCAGCACAUUAUGGCUGCACUAUAAACAGUGCUGGGACACAGUAUCAACUGAUUAUCAAAAACACAGACACCUCGGAUACUGGUUUGGUUUACUGUUCUAAAUGGCAACAAAAUGUGGGACAACACCAUGAUACACAGCUGAACAAAAACACAGCAGGAGGGCUGACAG